rnacentral:rRNA from 1 species
CACGUAGGGCGCAAGCGUUGUCCGGAAUUAUUGGGCGUAAAGAGCUCGUAGGUGGUUUGUUACGUCUGCUGUGAAAACCUAGGGCUUAACCCUGGGCUUGCAGUGGAUACGGGCAGACUAGAGGUAGGUAGGGGAGAAUGGAAUUCCUGGUGUAGCGGUGAAAUGCGCAGAUAUCAGGAGGAACACCGGUGGCGAAGGCGGUUAGCUGGCCUGUAACUGACACUGAGGCGCGAAGGCUAGGGGAGCGAACAGG